rnacentral:pre_miRNA from 1 species
AGCAUUUUGUAUCCGUGCUGAGAUUUCGUCGGACACUUACCCUAUAGGACUGAUCAAACUUCUAAGAUAAGUGAAGUC